rnacentral:lncRNA from 1 species
GGGCAACCACUUUCAUGGUCCCUGGGAAGAGGCUUUAAUCAAGUAUUGUGAGCAUGACGAUGCCAAGGCAAUCCGAGUUGAAAUCUUCUUUCCAUGUUUGUACACCAAUGGAUGAUGAGGUUGAAAAGGGUAAAUUUGAAAUGCUGAAAAAGGAUGACAACCAUAGAAGGUGAAUGAAAUGCUGAGUUUGAAAAUUUUGCAAGGUUUGCUUUGUCCUGGAUCUGAUGAUACCUCCUAAAGUUUAAAUUACCUAGAAGAACCAUUUGUCCCACGAGCCAUCUCAUGAUGUAUUGCAAGAAAAUGUUUUCUUCUGAGAGUUUGGCUGGCAUGACACUAAUUGGGGCACUCAUCUUGAACCUUCAUGCAUCUAGUAUUGGGAGAAUCUGGUGGAUGCAUCUUUAAGGACUAUAAAUAUAACAUGUAUGUGACACCUAAUAGAUAACAACUAUAGAGCUUGGUGAAUGAGUCUGAUUCAUCCAAAGGAUAUGCCCAAAAGUGGAAAGAGAUUGUUGCUCGAGAAUAGCCUCGUAUGAAUAACAAGUAAAUGGUUGCCAUAUUCCUACAUACUCUUUAACCACCC